ACUUAAAUUGAAGAGUUUGAUCAUGGCUCAGAUUGAACGCUGGCGGCAGGCCUAACACAUGCAAGUCGAGCGGUAGCACAGAGAGCUUGCUCUCGGGUGACGAGCGGCGGACGGGUGAGUAAUGUCUGGGAAACUGCCUGAUGGAGGGGGAUAACUACUGGAAACGGUAGCUAAUACCGCAUAACGUCGCAAGACCAAAGUGGGGGACCUUCGGGCCUCAUGCCAUCAGAUGUGCCCAGAUGGGAUUAGCUAGUAGGUGGGGUAACGGCUCACCUAGGCGACGAUCCCUAGCUGGUCUGAGAGGAUGACCAGCCACACUGGAACUGAGACACGGUCCAGACUCCUACGGGAGGCAGCAGUGGGGAAUAUUGCACAAUGGGCGCAAGCCUGAUGCAGCCAUGCCGCGUGUGUGAAGAAGGCCUUCGGGUUGUAAAGCACUUUCAGCGGGGAGGAAGGCGAUAAGGUUAAUAACCUUGUCGAUUGACGUUACCCGCAGAAGAAGCACCGGCUAACUCCGUGCCAGCAGCCGCGGUAAUACGGAGGGUGCAAGCGUUAAUCGGAAUUACUGGGCGUAAAGCGCACGCAGGCGGUCUGUCAAGUCGGAUGUGAAAUCCCCGGGCUCAACCUGGGAACUGCAUUCGAAACUGGCAGGCUAGAGUCUUGUAGAGGGGGGUAGAAUUCCAGGUGUAGCGGUGAAAUGCGUAGAGAUCUGGAGGAAUACCGGUGGCGAAGGCGGCCCCCUGGACAAAGACUGACGCUCAGGUGCGAAAGCGUGGGGAGCAAACAGGAUUAGAUACCCUGGUAGUCCACGCCGUAAACGAUGUCGAUUUGGAGGUUGUGCCCUUGAGGCGUGGCUUCCGGAGCUAACGCGUUAAAUCGACCGCCUGGGGAGUACGGCCGCAAGGUUAAAACUCAAAUGAAUUGACGGGGGCCCGCACAAGCGGUGGAGCAUGUGGUUUAAUUCGAUGCAACGCGAAGAACCUUACCUGGUCUUGACAUCCACAGAACUUUCCAGAGAUGGAUUGGUGCCUUCGGGAACUGUGAGACAGGUGCUGCAUGGCUGUCGUCAGCUCGUGUUGUGAAAUGUUGGGUUAAGUCCCGCAACGAGCGCAACCCUUAUCCUUUGUUGCCAGCGGU
rnacentral:rRNA from 1 species